UGAGUCGUGCCCAUAAACUUACUUCACAAAAUUAUUUCUUCUUGUUCUCUUACUUCUUCUGUAUUAUCGCUUUACCAUUCUCGUAGACAAACAAAAGCUUCUCAUUUUUUCAUUGGUUAAAGAAAUAGAAAGAGAGAGUCAAACUCUGCUUCAAGAUAUGGUUCUCUGCAAGGAUAUAGCCAGAACUCAAAGGCUCGUCAUAUAUACCAACUGCAACAAACGCUGGAGAAAAGAAAAAACAGAGAAUGAAAAAAAAGUGCAGAUAAAUUUCUGGCGUGAUACGCAUCGUCGUAAUCAAGAACCAAAGGUGAAUUAAAUUAGUAAGGAGACGAGAAGAAACAGAGAAAACAUUUCACAGCCGGAUAAAAUUCCAUUCUAGCUGUGACUGACUAGGCCAGAUUCACCGCCAUUAUCCUCAGUUAUUAUAUGUAUAGAUGUUCAAAGGUAAAUUUUAUCUCUCUUAUUAUUGCUUUGAUACACUCGUGAUCUCCUUUUGAAAUAUUCUUAAGGUCGUUUAUUUUUUUGUGAUAUUUUUUUAAAACUCUACGAUCCCAAGCUUGUGGUUAAAAUUGAUCCCAAUUGGGGAAGAAGGUUCCCAAAAUAUGUUACGGUUUCUUGUUAAGAAAGAUAAUUUUGACUCGGACCCGGCUCGCAAGUGGCAGAGACACCUCAAACAUUCAACAUUGAACACUUAAUUUUUUGGUUCAUGUACAAAGGAAGUUGUCCCAUUUUUGGACCUUCUUUGAAUAAUUUAUUUCUGAAGCAUUUAAAAGGUCCCCUGGUUCACCUUAGCCAUGGUAGUAACAACAACAAUCUCAUCGUUAUGAGUAAAAAUCUAAAUAUACACGAUUCAUAAAAUUUUGGACACUCCUAUUUCCUCUGUUUCA